GCGCUCGUAGCUCAGCUGGAUAGAGCGUCUGGCUACGGACCAGAAGGCCGGGGGUUCGAAUCCUCCCGAGCGCGCCA
rnacentral:tRNA from 2 species